rnacentral:rRNA from 1 species
UAGAGAUGUGGAGAAGGGACACCCUCUGCCUCCGCCUCCGCCACGGCCUCGCCGGCCGGGAUCCUAAUAUAAUCCUCCUCCUCCGCCUCCGCCACCGCUUCCAAGAACAACGCGGGCGACGAAGAGGCACCCAAGCUAGAUAAUUAUGCGCGAAGGACGCCGGGCGUCCCGAUAAGGUCUGGUUAGGAGUACCGGCCGACCUGCCUAAGGCCGCCGUCGGCUCCCGCUCCUCCUCCUCCUCCGCCGCCGAAGCGCUUGGCGCCGCCGCCGUUGCGGUUGUUGUACUUGUGGUCCACCUCUCUCUCUUCCGGUGGCGUCGUCGGAGUCGGCGUCGGUGUCGGAGUCGGCGGCGGCGUCGUCGUAGUCGUCGUUGUCGUAGUCGUGGUGGUGGUUGUUGUCGUGGUGGUGGUGGUCGUCGUUGUAGCGAUGGCAGGACAGUUGCUGUUACCGGUGAGGAGCGUCGUGGGCGCGGUGGGUGGCCGCCUCCUCGACCUGGCUGUGGUUCCCGUCCCUCCGAGGAGGUUAAGGUGGGCCGCGGGCGCCGGUUGAGCAGGUGGUGUCGGAGCGGGGUGGAAGUGUCUGGUGUUCGGCAGAGGAUGGAGGUGUGGGUUACGGUUGCUUGGCCUGCUGUUCCGGUCCGCGUUACGACGGUUAAAGCUCACGUUGCAGACGAAACUGUACCGCCUGCUGGGGCAGCAGUGGUUCACGCCGGUAGAGAAGACGACCCUGACGGAGAUGGUCACCGAGGUACAGGUGAGGUUGGUGGCGCUCACGGGACAGACGUUCCCGGUCCAGCGACUGCUACGGUAAUAUGGGUAGAUACCUGCACCACCGAGACGUCGCAGACAAGUGCGACGUGGCGGCUCCGGGUGACCCCGGUCUCAACUUUCGAGGUCUGUCGUCGUCGACGGCGUAAAACGACGAAGGUUGAACUUAUACUACUACCUGCUUCUACUACUUCUGCUGCUGGGGAAAGAACUCCUCUAAUCAGAAGCGAAACCUCAAUUGAGCGACUCUCCACCAUACUACUAGUAUGGGCUACUACUGUAGCUUGUUCUAAUACUACUGAUGUGACUAGGGAUGGAGGUGGCGUUGAAACUACUCCUCGGUCUAAAACCAAUGGCGCCACCAGCCGCAGUCGCGCCCUCUCGUUCUCCUCGUUGUAGACGUCUAGUAAAGUUGCUAGUGUAGCAACCGUACCACAACCCCUCAUCGAACUCCUAGCUCCUGUCGUCGCCACGUAGAAUGGCACUGUGGCCACGACCAGGAGUAGUAUAAUUAUUAUGUCCACCAAGGAGAGCCGGAUUACCACCUACCUGGCUCUCUUCUCCUUCUUCGUUGGCAUUAAGCUUAAGGCCACCACCUUCUCCUCGCGUCUUAUCGUCCUCCGUUCCUCGUUUAAUGUUAACUAGUACCGGACUUUCACCGUGAGUUUAUUUAGGUCGGAACUUAAUAAGAAAGAAGACUAAGAGACAAGACAAUGAAAACAUCAGCGGGGUAGACCCGUGAAACUAUUCGUAUAUAAACUGAUAACCCCACUUACAAAGAAGAGCAACUACGUUAAUUGUAAUGUACACCAAUAUAUGAGAAACGGUAACGUACGAUAUAAUG